rnacentral:rRNA from 1 species
CGGACGGGUGAGUAACGCGUGGGCAACCUGCCUUACACAGGGGGAUAACACUUAGAAAUAGGUGCUAAAACCGCAUAAGCGCACAGCUUCGCAUGAAGCGGUGUGAAAAACUCUGGUGGUAUACGAUGGUUCCGCGUCUGAUUAGCUAGUUGGUGGGGUAAUGGCCUACCAAGGCAACGAUCAGUAGCCGGCCUGAGAGGGUGAACGGCCACAUUGGGACUGAGACACGGCCCAAACUCCUACGGGAGGCAGCAG